rnacentral:rRNA from 1 species
CCUACGGGCGGCUGCAGUGGGGAAUAUUGCACAAUGGGCGCAAGCCUGAUGCAGCCAUGCCGCGUGUGUGAAGAAGGCCUUCGGGUUGUAAAGCACUUUCAGCGGGGAGGAAGGCGGUGAGGUUAAUAACCUCAUCGAUUGACGUUACCCGCAGAAGAAGCACCGGCUAACUCCGUGCCAGCAGCCGCGGUAAUACGGAGGGUGCAAGCGUUAAUCGGAAUUACUGGGCGUAAAGCGCACGCAGGCGGUCUGUCAAGUCGGAUGUGAAAUCCCCGGGCUCAACCUGGGAACUGCAUUCGAAACUGGCAGGCUAGAGUCUUGUAGAGGGGGGUAGAAUUCCAGGUGUAGCGGUGAAAUGCGUAGAGAUCUGGAGGAAUACCGGUGGCAAAGGCGGCCCCCUGGACAAAGACUGACGCUCAGGUGCGAAAGCGUGGGGAGCAAACAGGAUUAGAUACCCCUGUAGUC